rnacentral:sRNA from 1 species
ACCUCGAAAUUCACGCUGGAACGAGUUUUUCGAGAGCUUAUCCUCGUUGAUUUUAAUUAACAACUUCCGUGUAAAAAAUUCUAAACGUUUUUCGUCUGAAACCCGUGAGCGGCACGGGUUACGGGGUAAAUAAAGAUCUUGAGGCGCAAAAUAAUUGACGAUCGGCGGCCAUUUCUGGCGCU